GACGAACGCUGGCGGCGUGCUUAACACAUGCAAGUCGAGCGGUAAGGCCCUUUCGGGGGUACACGAGCGGCGAACGGGUGAGUAACACGUGGGUGACCUGCCCUUAGCUCUGGGAUAAGCCUGGGAAACUGGGUCUAAUACCGGAUAUGACUCCAUGACGCAUGUUGUGGGGUGGAAAGCCUUGUGCGGCUAGGGAUGGGCCCGCGGCCUAUCAGCUUGUUGGUGGGGUGAUGGCCUACCAAGGCGACGACGGGUAGCCGGCCUGAGAGGGCGACCGACCACACUGGGACUGAGACACGGCCCAGACUCCUACGGGAGGCAGCAGUGGGGAAUCUUGCGCAAUGGGCGAAAGCCUGACGCAGCGACGCCGCGUGAGGGAUGAC
rnacentral:rRNA from 1 species